UACAGAGGAUGCAAGCGUUAUCCGGAAUGAUUGGGCGUAAAGCGUCUGUGGGUGGCUUUUUAAGUCCGCCGUCAAAUCCCAGGGCUCAACCCUGGACAGGCGGUGGAAACUGCCAAGCUGGAGUACGGUAGGGGCAGAGGGAAUUUCCGGUGGAGCGGUGAAAUGCGUAGAGAUCGGAAAGAACACCAACGGUGAAAACACUCUGCUGGGCCGACACUGACACUGAGAGACGAAAGCUAGGGGAGCGAAUGGG
rnacentral:rRNA from 1 species